ACUCCCACGCCCACUACGCUACAUUCCCACGCCCACUACGCUACAUUCCCACGCCCACUACGCUACAUUCCC